CUAUGUACUACAGCUACUCUAGAUUUCCUCUGUAUUCAAUAGAAAAGAAUGGGCACUUCUUGGGGACAUUUCAUCUAUACUGAAGAUAAAAGUCUAGAAGAGGAUGGGGGGUUGCAUUCUGACUGUAAAUUUGAAAGUCAGGAGUUCUCCACGUGGGAAUUUCUCUCAUACCCUUGCCCCGAAGUCAAUCCCUGCCUGGUGCCUGGCAUAGCUCAAAACUUUUCAGAGCUGCAGUGCCUACUCACAGCUCUGAGACUUCUGUAUGGCAUCCAGAAAUGACAAGUGCAAUAUCCAAACAUCCUACCCAGGAAGAGCCGUUCACCUUGCAAGAAAUCAUAAUAAGGCUGCUUUCAUUGGUUUUCUUUCACCUUAAGCUUUGCAACAGAGGUAGGCUUAAAUGUAAAGGUGGUCUAGUGCUUAAACUGCUCACAAACAUUUGCAUGCAUUACACUGGUUCAAAGUAUGGUGUUUUUCAGGUCACCUGCCUGUGCUUUUUCAUGUUCGUACUAUUUCAUGAUCUUUUCAUCUUUGAGGAUUUGCAUUUGUGAAAGCCUUUAGCCUGUGUUUAGUCAAUCUUAUAAAACUACAGAACAGCAAGUCUCCAGUUGCUCUACUGCAAAUAGAGUUACACGGUCCUUCCAGCAAUUUUUUCACUGACAGAAACAAUCACAGUGGUCAGAGCAGAUGGAUUGUACUGUUGUUGCAGAGGCUUCUGUUCCAGAUAAGGAACUGGAAGCAGAGAGAAGAGAGUUACAGAAUGUGAGUGGACAGCGAUGAACACCAAGUUGAACAGGAGCCAGCAGCAUGCCCUGGCUACUAAGAAGAUAUCCUGGGCUGCAUUAGGCAAAGCACUACCAGCAGGUCGAGGGAGAUGAUCCUUUCCCUCUACUCAGUACUGGUGAGGCCACGCCUGGGGUGCUGGGUCCAAUUAUGAGGCUCAUAGUACAAGAGAGGCAAGGACAUACUGGGAAGAGCCCAAUAGAGGACUGCUGAUGUGAUGAGGAGACUGGAGUACUUCUCCUAUGAGGAGAAGCUGAGAGAGCUGGGGCUGCUCAGCUGGAGAGGAGGAGGCUCAGGGGGAUCUCAUCAACGUCCACAAAUCCCUGAUGGGGAUGGUGCCAAGAGGCUGGAGCCAGGCUCUACCAGUGUUGCCCGGUGCCAGGACUGGAGGCCAUGGGCACAAACUGGAGCACAGGAGGUUCCCUCUGAACACCAGGAGCCCUUCUGUGCUGUGCUGGUGAUGAAGCGCUGGCACACUCCUGUCUUUGCUGGCACAGGUGCUGGAGCAGGUCCAGAGAUCAAACACUUCCUACCUCAACCAUUAUGUGACUGUGACUCUGUGAAGUAUGGACAUUUGGACAAUAACUUUUUCUUCCUAUACAAUUAAUGGAGGAAAACAGGCCCCAGUACUGAUUUCUUACUCUGAAUUGUACUCAUGAAUGUCUUUCUCCUUUCCAUUGACUGCUGAGGUAUCCUUGGAAGGCUGGUUGUGUAAUUUAGGCACCUAAGUCAGAUCCUGAAAGUUGCCAAGACAGGAAUGGUGCCACAAUAAUGGAUUUAUUCUUUUGAAUUUGCCUGUGAAACCUGCUGGCCAGUAAAUACUGACAGAUGUGCUGAUAAGGAAUCAUCAAGCUUAGAGUGGGAAAUCAGAGCUGGCAUCUCAGUGCCACCAAAUUAUCUGAUACUGAAUUCACUGGAAUUGGUAUUUCAGCCCAGAGGGAGAAGUGCAGCAAGACAUACAUUCAUCCGGUCUCAUCCCAUCCUGUCCCAUCCCUUCUCGUCUUGUCUCAUCCCAUCCUGUCCUAUUCUAUCCUGUUCCAUCCCAUCCCAUCCCAUCCCAUCUCAUUCCAUCCCAUUCUAUCCCAUCUCAUCUCAUCCCGUCCCAUCCUAUCCUGUCCCAUCCCAUUCCGUCCUAUCCUAUCUCAUCCCAUUGCAUCUCACACCAUCUCAUCCCAUCUCAUC